rnacentral:rRNA from 1 species
UACAGAGGUCCCAAGCGUUUGUUCGGAUUCACUGGGCGUAAAGGGUGCGUAGGUGGUUGUGCAAGUCUGAUGUGAAAUCUCCGGGCUCAACCCGGAAAUGGCAUUGGAAACUGCAUGGCUAGAGGGUUGGAGGGGGGACUGGAAUACUUGGUGUAGCAGUGAAAUGCGUAGAUAUCAAGUGGAACACCAGUGGCGAAGGCGAGUCCCUGGACAACACCUGACACUGAGGCACGAAAGCUAGGGGAGCAAACAGG